GCAGGAAUUGCAAGUGAAGUUCAGGCUUGAGUUCAAAAGUCUCAGAUCUUACAAGGCAGUUGUGGAAAAGUUUGGAGUUGAUCCCAAGAAAGUGGAUAAGCUUCAAGAACCUUGAUGCUGCCUUCUUUUAGUCAGAAAGUCAAAACCACCUGAGUCAUAGCCUUCUACAUCAGCCCUCCAUUGAUGUUCCAUAUCAGCUAACUGGAGGCACGGUGAAUAGCAGAUUUGUGGCUGAUGUAAUUUCUCACUGGCAUGACAGAAGAUUGGAAGGCGUGGCAAGAUUCCGGCGAGCAGCUGUUUUAAUGAGCAUUCAUCUCAUGCUAAUGAAUGCAACUGGCAUUCGAGCCACUAGUCUGUGGGAGUACCAACCCGCCAUAACACAUUGUUGGGAGAAUUGCAACUUGGUUUUACGACGGUGGAUUUGUGACUUUUUGCCUGCAGCUGGAUUCUCCGAUCCCGCCUGCCACAAAAUCUGCCAUGGGCGCGAUGGGAAAAUUCCAGCCAACAUUCCAGGUGUUUGACUUUUUAUCAAAACUGGGAAAAGUUAGAAAUGUAACAGCUUUUGAGCAAGUGAAAGGGGGAAGGGUGGGAAAAAGAGCAUAAAGGGAGAUCUGUGACAGGGUGGAGGACAGAAGAGGUUAAAUGACAUAAGGUUUCAUGGUGCAAGACCAAAGGAAAUGGUAAUGGAACAGGUAAAGAAACAAAUGAUGUGUCUAAAGGAGGUGUGAAUGGCAGGACCCUGAAUAACUACUGGCCAAAUGCAAGGUAAAGGAAAUAAGAAGAAACAAGAGAAAAACAUUAAACCAGCAAAGAAACACUAAACAAAAUGGGUGCAGAGGUUAUGAUGUAAAAUUGUUGAACUCAAUGUUGAGUCCAGAAGGCUGAGACAUGCCCAUUUAAAAGAUUAAAUUGUGAUGAUUUUUAUUGGAACACUGCACAGAAAGGUCAGAUGGGAACAAGGUGGAGAAUUAAAAUGACAAUCGGGUGACUAGAAAUUCAGGGCGUGUCUUGCAGACUGAACAAAGGUAUUCUGCAAAGCGGUCACCCAGUCUGUGUUUGUCUCCCCAGUGUAGAGCAGACUACAUCAUGAACAGCAAAUAUAAUAUACUAAAUCAAAAGAAGUACAAGUAAGAUCAAUAAGAUCUGAAAUUUUAAUGCUGUUUCUCUCUCCAUAGAUGCUGCCAGACCUGGUGAGCAUUUCUAGCUACAUAUCUGCUGAGAGUUUCGAGUAAUGUAUAAAUAUUCUGUGGGGGUUUUCAGAUAUGUGAAUUA